GAGAUAGCAAACUGGUCCGUUUCUUCAUCUAGCUGAAAUGUGAAGUUACCUUCUUGUGGAUCAACUUCACUUUUCCAUGACGUCAAAUUUAGAUCCCCACUCAUCUUCAUACCUGGAAGAAAUGUAUCAGUUGGAUGGUCAAAGCUUUGCCAUAGAAUAGUUGCCAAAAGGGUAUUACUAUCACACAAAACCAAGUUCCCAGAAUCUAAGAGCUUAGCCAACCCAUUCGCUGGUUUUGAUGUUGAUUCAAGCCCUGUAGACCAAAAAGGAUCUCCGUUUUUAUCCAAAAUCUUGAGGUUUCCAUCAUCUGUGACAGCCAAAACUGCUCCAUCAUCAAGAAGUGGGCGGUCUCGAUUGGCAACCCACACAACUAUUCGUGGAUUCGACCUGUAAUACCAAAUUCCUACGUAGCUUUUGUUUCGUUCAGGAGUAAAGAACCCCAGUUCAAACCUUUUUCCUGCUGAAACAAGAGUUUCUCCACCAUGUUAUAAAUUACCUGCUUAAGUGUGAUGGUAUCUCUAGCAAAGCAACAUAAAAGGGAGGAGCAUAAUAAGAAUGCAUAAGAAAAGAAAACGGUUGAUAGCAUGCUAUGCAUUGCACAUAGAUCUCUCUGGUUAAGACCUCUUCUUACCAUCAACCAUGAAUGUAUCACUCAAGUCAACUGCAAAGCAAAUUUUCACUGCACUUGUUCUGUGUUGACGCUGACCAUAAAGGAAGGGAGAUGAUGCUUUACUAAACUUAGAUUAAUUUAGAAUAGUUAAUCAUUUGAACACCACAACAUUUUCCUAGUCAUCGACAAAAAAUUAAUACAUUGUAACGUUGUAGUGUUUAUUUUGUAAAAUAUUUUUUAUUUAAAAAUAUAUUAAAAUAAUAUUUUUAUUAUUUUUAAAAAUUAUUUUUGAUAUUAAAAAUUAAUUUUAAAUAAAAAAAUUAUAAUUUAAUGAGAAACACAAUUUAAAACAAUUUUGUUAUCUCCGAUAGAGUUGCCGUAGUGGGGUGGUAAUGAAGAUAGCAACAGUGAUGAUAACAAUGUAUGUAGUGAUGAUGAUAAGAUUUUGAUGGUUAAGAUUAUUUGAUGAUUUUGUGUGUAAAUUAUUAUUUAAAAAAGUUUAAAAAAUAUUUUAUUUUGUUAAAUAUUUUUUUGAAAACAAAUUCCUUCUUAAACUACCCAUAAAUAAUUAAAUUGCUUGCUGCAGGCGUGUUCUUUUCUUUUACAAGUCUUGGCUCUCCUUUCCCACGCAAUUUUCUGUGGCAACAAGGGCCCGUCAAGGCAUUUUUCAACUAUAUGCAUUCAUGCUUUCAUGUCCACUCGUUCUGUAAGUAUAUCCCUCAUUUUGACAAAACCCACUAUUUCCAUCCUAUAUUUUUACCAACUUGUCAAAAGAGUCCCUCCAUUAUUAAUUUGGUCAAUUGAGCAUAUGUUUUUUCAAUUUCAGUCAAUUGAGUAAAAUUUUCCGAAAUUAAAGAUUUAUCUCUAUCAAUUGAGAAUUCUUCUUCACAACCUUAGUCAUUCUCAAGAACUUUUUUGUCAUUCUUGAAAUAUCAUCAUUCAUCUCAUCCUUCCUAUUGAGUAAAAGUUUUUUUUUCAAUUUAGAUCACUAAUACUCAAUUGAUUGAAAUGAAAAUUAUAGAUACUCAAUUAACCAAAUUGAUAGCAUGGGAGAUUUUUUUUUCUUAAUUGAUAAUGGAUUUAGCACUUUAGAUUGAUCGUUGUUAGUCAUCAAAAUUGACAAUAACCUUAUUACACUCGAUCUGGGAUUGACCUGAUGAAGGAAUGGAGUUGCAGGUUACAUGGGUCAACUCAAACAAAUUAAAAAAAAUUAAAAUUUUAAUAUUUUAUAUAUAUAAAAAAACAAUUCAUAUGAAUAUACACUAUAUAUGCUGUAAAUAAUAAAGUUUAAAAGAAUAUAUCAAAAAGUUUUUUAUCCCACAUUUUAAAAAAAAACAUAAUUUUUUUUUUGUGAACAUAAAAUAGAUAUAUUAAAGGGCUUCAAAUCUCACAUUGAAAAAAUAAUUUUUUUUCUUUGGAACAUAGAGUAUUAUACAAAAUACUAAAAGGGGUCAGUGCAUCUGUUACUGUGGAUUGAAGCAGUGUAAUGACAGACCAACCCUUGUCACAAAGAGUUGCAAGGGCAGCGGGGAGGGGUGGGGUUGUCUUUCUGCUGGGAUGCAUUUGGCAUUGAAAUGAUGGCUAGGAAGAAAAUGGUUAGCUCAAGUUUUGGUGUGGCUACAGGCCCUGGGAUGCGAACACCUGACGCUUGGGUUGCCCUACCUGUACGCUGGGUCAAACCCGCACGCCCACGUGGCGCUGAGGCUGGCUUGCCCUGUGUUCAAGGCUAAUGGGUCCUGCAUCAGAACCCAAUUUUCUUGGGUUCUUUGUCAGGACCCAAGCCUAUUGGGUCUUAGGUUUCUAAAUAUAAUUAUUUUCGUUAUAAAUAUUAUAAUUUUUAUUAUAGUUGAAAGUAUUAAUAUCAAACAUAUUAUAAUUUGUGUUCUAAAUAUUAUUAGUUUAAUUAUAAUAAAAAUAAUAAUAUUUAUACCCCAAAUAAUAGUAUUGUUGAUAUGAAUACUUUGAAUUAUACUAAAAAUCAUAAUAUUCAUAACACAAAUAAUACUAUUUUUAAUAUUAAUACUUUCAAUUAUAAUAAUAAAAAAUUUUGUAUAGCAAAUAAUAAUAUUUAUACCACAAACAAUACUAUUUUUAGAAUUAAUACGUUCAAUGAUAAUACAAAUACAAAUCUUUGUACCACAAAUAAUAAUAUUUUUUAUAUUAAUACUUUGAACUACAAUAAAAAUAAAUAUUAAUACUUUUAAUUAUAAUAAAAAUAAUAAUAUUUAUACCAAAAUAAUAAUAUUUAUACCAAAAUAAUAAUAUUUAUACCACAAAUAAUACUAUUUUGAAUAUUAAUACUUUCAAUGAUAUAAAAAUAAUAAUCUUUAUACCACAAAUAAUAAUAUUUUUGAUAUUCAUGCUUUGAACUAUAAUAGAAAUAUUAAUAUUUAUAACAUAGAUAAUAGUAUUUUUAAUAUUAAUACCUUCAAUUAUAAUAAAAAUAAUAAUAUUUAUGGCACAAAUAAUAAUAAUAAUAAUAAUAAUAAUUUUUAAUUUUAUCCUUCAAAUCAACUUUAUGAUUUUUUUUUGUGGUUAUUAUUAUUAUAUUAUAUAUAAAGCUAAAUCAUGUGGGAAAAGUCAUGUUUAUCAAGACUCAUUGCACUGUGAAUUGCACAUUUGGUAGGGGCAUGGUGUGUUGCAGCCCCAGACAUAGACACUUGGCGCAAGGGCAUUCAUACCUAGCCACAAAGAUUUCCAAAGAUGCAGAGGGAGAGGUUGCGCUUCAAGUUUCGGACACCUGGCGCUGGGGGCAAACCCGUGAGCUUGGCUUUCCACCCAUGUAAAACCUCUGGGUGAAAAAUUAUAAAUUGACUAGUUUCAUGUAAAACAAAAGAAAAAAUUUGUAACUCUCGAUCGGGUUAUUGGAAAAUUCUGAAAAUUUGCGUGGAGCCUUCUGAUAUGAUAUCUUAGCUUGGGUUAAAAUUUUAGAAGUUUUAGAGAAAUUCAGAAAAUUUGACAAAAAAUCACAAUUUGACUAGUUUUACGUUAUUUGAUGUAAUAUAUUUGUUUUAUAUGUAAUUUGUAUUAUACGUAGAUUGUAGUGUAUGUAUAAUGAAGAUGUUUGCUUUUGGUAUUUAUAUAUUUAAAAAGUAUGAGUAAGGAACUACUAUUAUUAAACUAUUCGAAAAUAAUAUUUUAAGUUUAUAAUUGUUUGUAGUUAAUGUUUUAUUUGUAGAUGAUGUAAGGUUGAGAAAAAUACAAUGAAGUAUAGUUAUGUGGAAUAUUGUAUGACAAGAUGGGAUUUGAUCCAGGAUGGUUGGAUCAAAGUGAAAGUUUUGAGUAUUGUAAUUGAAUGAAGUAUAGUCGAUAACUUGGUAACAUGAGAAAACAAAGGACACUCCGUUGAAAUUUUCAAAAAAAAAAAAAAUCUUAUAAUCUUAGACAUAUUAUUCAAUACUCGAUAUUAGUAAAGAAAUGUUUAAGAUUUCAUGAAAUAAUAAUUUGAGGGUGUUACAACCCAAGUCAGCGGUUCUGCUAACCUGUGUGUUGGGUCUGGACAUGGACCCCCUUCUGUUGGGUCAAGCAUCUUGACCUAAAUCACUUGGGUUUGGACAUGGAUCCAACCCCCUUAGAUCCAAACAUGACCCAAUCCCCAACCCUCUACGGUCUGGACGUGGAAGGACCCAAACUCCUUGGGUCCGGACCUAGUAGAACCUAAACCCCAACCUCUUGGGUCCGAACACGGCCCCAUCCCCAACCCCUUUGGGUCUGGACAAGGACCCAUCCCCCAACCUCCUUCAGUCCCCACCCCACUUAACCCCCAACCCCUCUGGGUCCGGACACGGACCCAACCCCCAACCCCCAUGGGGUCUGGACAUAGAAGGACUCAAACCCCAAACCCCUAGGUUCGAACAUCGAAGGAUCCAAACCCCAACCCCCUAGGUCCGGACACAGCCCAAUUCCCAACUCUUUGGUUCCGGCUACGAACCCAAACCCUAAGUCCUUUGGGUCUGGACAUAGACCCAUCCCCUAACCCCUUUGGGUCCUCACCCCGCCAAACCCCCAACCCCCUUGGGUCUGAACACGACCCAAUCCCCAACUCUCUUAGGUCCGGUCACGAACCCAACCUCCUUCAGUCCUCACACCCCGCCUAACCCUUAUUCCCCAACCCCUUUGAGUUCGAGCACGAACCUAACUCCUCUUGAAUUCGGACAUGGAAGGAUCUAAAUCCCUUGGGUUCGGACACCAAAGAACCCAAACCCCAACCCCAUGAGUCCGGACACGGACCGAACCCCCUUGGUAUUGUUCCACCAAUAUAACAACGUUAUCUUUUUACAAUUUAUAAAGACAAUAACAUGCACAUUUUUUGUUGUGCAGAAUUUCAAGGCAUAAGCCAACAUGUAUGUUGAUAUAGCUGCCGAAAAAGCUACAUCUUAUUACUUAUUUUUGUAUUAAAAAACAUUUAAAAGCUCUUGUUCAUUUCCAUCUGUUUAAUCAUAAAGCUUUUGUAUUAAUGUUUUUAUUGUUUGGUUUGUUGGUGUACUACAACAACAUAUAUUACUACUUUAUAUAUUGUGUCUUCUAGCUAUGUCAAACCUUGCAUCAUGCAGUAAAAAUAUUAAAUCUUAUUUUGGAAUUAACAAAAUCUAUUACAUGCUUCAAUCUUAGAAUAUGUUUUUUUUUUCACGUCUAUUUUUAACCGUUUGGUUAGGGGCUUUUAUUUUUUCCUUUAAAAAAAAUAAACAAGGUGCUAAGACUUUGUUACUAUUAGAAAAAAAAAACAUGAAUUUGAUUGUAACCAUAAAAUUAAAAACUAUAAAAACUUAGAAAAUAAAUAAAUUUGAACCCAUGCUAUUUUAAACACAAAUAUUUUUAUAAUACCAUUUUAAAAAAUAUAUUAUUUUUUGUCUUUUAAAAUAUUUAUAACAUAAAUAAUAUUAUUUUUAAUAUUAAUACCUUCAAUUAUAAUAAUAAUAAUACUUUUAAUUUUAUCCUUCAAAUCAACUAUAUGAUUUUUCUUUGGUUAUAAUAAUAUUUUAUUUCAAAUUUAUUAAUGACAAUAAUGAUAAUAAGAACAACAAUUUAUACUUUUACCCUUCAAAUAGAUAUUGCGUCAGGAUCCAAUGUUAAUAAGCCUUUGUUAGUAUCCAAUUCGCUUGGAUUCUGCACCAGGAUCCAAUGGUAAUGGGUCCUGCACAUCCAAUGUUAAUAAGCCUUUGUUAGUAUCCAAUUCGCUUGGAUUCUGCACCAGGAUCCAAUGGUAAUGGGUCCUGCACAGGACCCAAGAAUGGAUCCUCGCCAGGAUCCAGAUAAUUUGUGUUAUAAAUAUUCUUUGUUUUUUUUAAUAUAAUAAUUUGUGAUAUAAAUAUUAUUAUUUGUCUUAUAAUUCAAAGUGUUCAUAUCAAAAAUAUUAUUAUUUAUGUUAUAAAUAUUAUUAUUUUUAUUAUAACUCAAAGUAUUGAUAUAAAAAAUAUUAUAUGUCCAUUCCAUCUUUUCUAAUUGGUCCAUGCACAUACAGAUACAGUAGGAAGUUGUUUUAAUGUUUUAAAAAAGUAAAUAAAUUGGGUUUUAACUUAAUCACCUAGGUUUUAUCUAAUUAAUUCCCACAUUAUUUUUUUAAACCUAACCUGCGCUGAGCCGAGUUUAACAACAUUAUCACUAACUAGUUGUAAGCAAAUGGAGGAGUGAUUAUUAAGAAUAUGCCUGGCAAGCAAAUUUGCUAAGGCACUUGUUCAUACAGUCAUUUUCAUCUGAGUAGCCAGGUUCAGCAUCAGGCUUUCCUGCUUUCAUCGAUUUUAACUCCAAGAAGUUCUGAACCACAUCGUUGCAGCACAAAGGUGACAUUCUUUCACACCCCUCUGAAAAGUUUCCUAAUUUCCAAUUAUCGGGAGACUUAGACUAUUGCAACUACCAGAAGUCCCACAAGCAUCAAAUACACUGCAUCGAUCACUUGGUUCCCGCCAGUUCAAAGUCCAAUUCGCGUUUCUCCAGAGGAAAAACUGUAUCUGCCCAUUGAACACCAGUCUUGUAUUCUUAUAAUUCACAGCUGUUGAAUUUAUUCUAUUAUAAGGACUUUCCUCUGUAGUUGUUGUGUUCCCAAGAGGUCUGCUUGGUUUCCUGCUGGAAUUCAUGAGCAAGUUAGAAACAAGCCAGAGCCUUUCGUCGGAUCUUACAAAACUUCCUGAAACUCCACUUUUCCAGUACGGAAUCGAUCCGUUCUUCAUGAUGAUGUACUGGUUUUCUCUUUCAUCAAGCUGAAAUUUGAAGUCUCCUGGUGCUGGGUCACUGGGACUCUUCCAAGAAGUCAACAUAAAGUUCUUGUUUGUCUUCAUUCCAGGAAGAAAUGUGUCAGUUGGAUAAUCGAAGCUUUGCCACAAUAUUGCUGAACCAUUUGCAGCUUCUUGGAUCAAGACUAAAUUCCCGGAAUCCAUGAGCUUCAACCUCCGAGUGAAAGAAAAUGAAGAUGAUGUAGUUUCGUUUGUUUUUAUUCUUAUCAAAAAUAAUAAUCUAUGUCCGUUGAAAAGUCAUUUUCUGAAAACAUUUUUAUUAUUAGAAAAGUUUAUUAAUAAAAUAUUUAGUUUAGUUUCCAGAAAAGUAUAUAUUAUUUUUAUUUGAGGUGAAACAUAUUUUUAGAAGUUACAAAAUAUUCAAAAAUAUCUUAUUAUCUAUUUAUUAUAUUAAAUUUAAUAAUCAAUUUAGCACUUUUAAAUUUAAUUUUAUUUUUAUAUAAACUUUGGUCUUAUAUUUUUAUUGUUAUUUGUUUUUCUUUUAUUUUUCAAAUUAUUUUCUAUAACACUACUAAACAUCAGAAAAACUUAUAUUUUCUAGAAAAUCACUUUUUUUUAAAAAAACUAUUUUCUAACAAACAAACUAAUAUGAUUUUUCUAGUAAAAUAACAAGUUCCAAUUCUACUUCAAUGAUAAUCUGGUGAGAUGGAAAAUUAGAAGAUCUUUAAAAUAGAAAAGAGAAAGAGCUCAUCUUGAAAUGCCUAAAUAGCUGUAUAUUUGUGUUGUUUAUGAUGUGAUAAUGCUCCAUCACAAAAAAAAAAAAAAAAACAAACAAACAAAAACAAAACUAAAAAAAUAUCUAGUUGAAUUAUUGCAAAAUUUACUUAGCAAUUAUAAGAGCCCAACAAUGAUAAUGAUGUUCAGGAGACUUUUUUACUAUUAUAAGUCCUCAAUAUCAUAUUUUCAUAUUCUGUAUUUUUUCAAUUUGUACUCAGAUUAGUACGCCCUAGAUUUAUGGAAUUGUAGGCAGGAUCAUUUUUUUUUUUUUGUCAAAAUAUUAUAUUGAGAUGUCAUAUGCGUGUUCUAAGGAAGAAAAAAAAAUCAUCCAUCAUCAGAGAAUGUUACUGCCCAACCUUGUAUUACCAGCACCAUUGUUACAUAGCUAACUGACUAGUUCUUGCUACCCUUUCAGGGGUCCAAGCAACAGCAGAGAGCUAAUUUAUCACAAAUAAGUAUACUUCUAACUAAUCAACGCGUUUUUAGCUAAUUUUAUCACUUCAUGUUUGUUCCUUUUCACUAGAAUAUUCUCCUGGUGGUGUUUUCCAAUUAGACAGGGACGUUACCAGUUGCCUGAACAGCAAGUUUCAUGAUGCACAGUGUCAAUGUCAGGUCUGAACUAAUGGCUGAAAUGCAAAUGGACUAAUGUUAGUACAAGAAGAUAUCUAGCCGAGAACGUUAAUGCUAGAAACUGGAGGCACCACAGAAACCACCUAGUUCUAUUAGGUUUUGGCGUGUCUGAGGAAAAGAGGGAUACAAUUCAGUAAUCUGAAAAGCAAAGAUUACCAGAUGAAGUCAUGGUCUUCUAUUUUUGUCUAUUUCACCUUUUAUUAUUGGCCCAUGAAACUGGUAUGUAGUUUCGUUUGUUUUUAUUCUUAUCAGAAAUAAUAAUCUAGGUUCGUUUAAUGAAAAUUUAUUUUCUGAAAAUUAUUUUCUAAAUUUUUUCAUGUUUCUUAUUAGAAAAGUUUAUUAAUAAAAAUUAAUUUUUCAUUAAUAAAAAAUUUAGUUUGGUUUUUAGAAAGUAUUUUAGUUUUAUUUUAGGUGGAAUACACUUUUUAGAAGUUACAAAAUAUUCAAAAAUAUCCUAUUAUCUAUUUAUUAUAUCAAAUUUGAUCAUCAAUUUAGCUCUUUAAAAUUUAAUUUGAUUUUUAUUUCAACUUUGACCUUAUUCUUCUUAUUGUUAUUUGUUUGUUUUUUAUCCAUUAGAUUUGAUCCUUGUUUUUUUUCUUUCUAUUUAUUUUAUUUGAAAUAAUCUUUUUCAUUUUUUUUUUAAUUUCAUCAUUUAUCAAUUUUUUAUUUGUCAUAUUUAGUUUCUAUUAUUUUAAUUGUUAUUUAUUUUAUUUAAAACAAUUUAUAAAAUUUGAAUAUUUUUUCAAUUUCAUCAUCUUUCAACCUUUUCAUUUGUUAAAUUUAGUUUCUAUUCUUUCAGUAAACUUGAAAAAAAUUAAACAUUAAUAAAUUAUUUUUCCUUUUAUUUUUCAUAGUAUAGUCAAACACUAGAAAGUGUUUUCCAACUUAUUUUCUAUAUUUGGUUAGAUGGAAAAAUAGAAGAUCUUUAAAAUGGAAAAGAGAAAGAGCUCAUCUUAAAAUGCCUAAAUAGAUGUAUAUUUGUGUUGUUUAUGAUGUGAUAAUAUUCUCCAUCACAAAAAAAAGUUGUGGCAUCCAAAAAACACUAAAAAAAUAUCUUGUAUAAAACAAGAGCCCAACAAUGAUAAUGAUGUUCAGGAGACUUUUUAACUAUAAAAAAUAAGUUAGAGGAUAACUAGUAAUUUUUUAUUGAAUGGUGAAAUAAAAAAAAAUCAAUAUAAGAAAAAAAUCAAAAAAAUAAGGAUCAAGUUGAAAAAAAUAAAAUAUCACAAAUUUGGAUUCAGUAGUGAAAUUAAAAACAAAUUAAAAUUUUACAAAAUGGCCAAGAACAUAAAUUAAAAAUCAAAACAAUAAAAAUCAAAGUUAAAAUUUCAAUAAACAAGAAGGCAAUUCUGAAAUUUUAAAUGGCUAGUUUGAAUUUCGAGUGGAAAAGAAAAGAAAACAUCAUCGGCAAUAAAUCAUCCCACCCCUGCUAUGAAACACCAUAAAUUUCCCUCUACAUUGUAAGAUCUUCGUAUCAAGGCGAUAAAAAAAACUACCAAGUCAAAUACUAAAUUAAGCAAAUUUGAAUGGAUCAAAUUGAAAAAAAUAAAAAUAAAUUGAGGGAUACAAGAAAAGGGAUGAACCUUCCCUUCUCCAUACAUUUUGUCCUUAAUUUUUAGGUUGUUCAAAUUUGGUCUCCAUUUCUGUAAACCAAGUGUCAAAUGAGCAAUGAUUUUUUUUUAUUCACACCGUGAGAUCCCCUAGCCAAGGUAGACAAAGUAUAUCACAAAGUUUGCUCCCAAAAAUAAUAAAAUUGAAAAACAAAUUAAAGAAAAAAAAAACUAAAGGACUAAGAGAAAAAAAAUUAAAGGACUAAGAAAAAAAAAACUCUAUUACAAUUCAUAGUGUUUUCUCUAUAAAAUUGAAAUAAUAUUAUUUUAUCCUUAAACAUGACUAUUACAAUGACACGAAUGCAUGUCACUUUGAUAUUAUUUACCCCGCAACUUGAGUCAAAAUCCAUUUCUUGCUGCUUUGCCUUGUCUUCAAGGGAAGUACUGACGGUGAGAGGAUAAGUCAUUUGUGUGUGUGAGCCUUGAGGAUAAGUCAUUUGCCUUGUCUCCAAGGAAAGUACUGCUAACAAUUAAGCUUGUGUGCCUCAGCAUUACACAAAUUCAUUUGAAAACUGUCCCCAUAAUCAACUGCCAUGAUUAAGGAGAAAUCUGGGUUUUUUGCCAAAUGCAUGAUCCACAUAGUGCCGAAUAGCAUCAUAUAGUAUGAAUGAAUAAAGAAAACAACACAGGAAAUGUCCAACAAACUGACUCAACAUUCACAAUGCCAAACAAAAGGCCACGGAAUUGAAUUAAAUUUGCACUCCUACAAGUUAGAAAAUUCACGAUGCCAAGAGGAGGUAAGUGAUCUCGUGAACCUAAUAUCUCCGAGUGGAGUUAUUACAAGAACAGUCUCCUGUCCUCAAAUUAAGAUAUUCGUUAAGAAUUAUUGAUUUCACAUGGCCGGUUACAAAGAUACUGCUAAAUAUCACUAAAAAUAUAUAUGUUUUUAGAAAUUUAUUUUUCAUGAUAACUACUUCUCAAGAAAAAAAUAUUUUCUAGAAACAAACAAGAUUUGCCUAGUAAAAUAACAAGUUCCAAUUCUACUUCAAUGAUAUAUUUGGUGAGGAAAAUUAGAAGAUCUUUGAAAUGAAAAAAGAGAAAGAGCUCAUCUUAAAAUGCCUAAAUACCUGUAUAUUUGUGUUGUUUAUGAUGUGAUAAUGAUAUUCUCCAUCACAAACAAAACCAAAAAAACUAAAAAAAUAUCUAGUUGGAUUAUUGCAAAAUUUACUUAGCAAUUAUAAGAGCCCGACAAUGAUAAUGACGUUCAGGAGAUUUUUUUACUAUAUAAAGAGAUUUUUUUUUAGUUUGAGACAUAUUUUUAUCUUCUGUAUUUUUUUAAUUUGUACUUAAAUUAGUACACACUAGAUUUAUGGAAUUGUAUGCAGUAUCGAUUCUUUUUUUUUUUGUAAAAAUAUGAUAUUGAGGUGUCAUAAACGUGUUCUAAAGAAGAAGAAAAAAUCCACAAUUAGGUCAAAUAAAUUACUUUUUUAUUUUAAUUAUAUGAUAAAAAAUAAUAAUAAACAGUGACACCAAAUAAACUAAAUAAACAAAUUGAUUAUGAUAACUUGAAAAAAAUAACUAUAUUUUUUUAAAUAAUAUAAUUCAAUUCUCAGUCCAAUAAAAUAUAGAAUAAUAAAAUUGAAUUAAAAAUGUAAAAAUAAACCAACCCGAGUCACCUUGAGUUAGCAUAAUCAAUUGAAUUACCAAAAAAAACUAUUAAGUCAAAUACUAAAUUAAGCAAAUUGGAAUAGAUUAAAUUAAAAAAAUAAAUAAAUUAUGGGAUAAAAGAAAAGGGAUGAACCAUACAUUUUAGUCCCUAAUUUUUAGAUUGUUUAAAUUGGUCUCCAUAGCUUUAAUUGCUUUCAAUCAAUAAAACUUUAUUUAAUUUCGGUAAACCAAGCGUCAUCUAAGCAAUGAUUUUCUUUAUUAAUACCCUGAGAUCCCCUAGCCAAGACAGACAAAUAUACCACAAAGUUUAAUCCCAAAAAUAAUAAAAUUAAAAAAAGAAUUAAAGAACCAAAAAAAAAACUGAAGGACUAAGAAAAAAACUCUGUUACAAUUCGUAGUGUUUUCACUAUAGGUGAACAUGACUUUUGCCGGUAAGCCCACCAAGCCCCUGUUCAAAAAACUACAGAGCAUCUCCUUAAUCAUGUCUGGAUCAGACAUGGCCAACAACCUGGGCUCGACUCCCAACCGGUGGAGAAAUGUCUUCCUGCUCUUCCUUGACCAUUGAUAGACGUUGGCUUCGACAAAUUGAUAUUAGGCUGAUAUCCUUGGACCUUCCGAAGAUUGGAUUGUAGGCAAGGCCAGUAUCUGUGCCUUUUUUUAAAUGGUUUUGGAUUCUCCAUGGAACCCUUAAAACUGAGUGUAGGAAUUUCAAAAUGCAGAGUCUAAGGAAGAUCACAAAGAGAAGAAAAAAACAAGGUGAAAGAAGGAUCGUGCAGUGGGCUUGAUUUGUCAGAAGAGAUUGUUUUUACCAUGAUUUAAGUAAUGUGCAGCUGCAAUGAUUGGUGAAUUAUGAGGGGUGGUUGAAAAUUAUAUGAUGCUUUGUCUCCUUAAAGAGAUAUUGGGGAUUAUCUGGUGAUAAACUGUUGUAACCCAUUUUUGGGUCCCCAUAUAAAAAAUAAUAAAAUACAAAAAAAUCAAAAAAAUAUAUUAUAAAAAAAAUAUAACAGUGAAAAAAAUGUCAGAGCGCCCUAAAAAUGCUCAAAAAUUGAUAGAGGAUGCUCAAAAAUAUAAAAAAUAUUUUUGACAGGAUAUCAUUGACUGAUGAGAGCCCCGAUGAUAAAGAAAAUUCAAUUUGUAGAAGAAAAAUGCAAAAUCAGAAGUUUAUGGACUCAAUUAAAUUUUAUUAAAGGUUUAAUUGCAUUUAUGAAGAUUUUAAUUGCAAGAAAAAUUGAUUUUGGAGUUAAUUUGGGCUUUAAUUAGGAGAAAUUAAUUUUCUAGGGUCAAAUUAUAAUUUUUGGAAGUUAAUUUGGUCAAAUUAGGGGCUUAAUUGCAUAAAUAUUGAAGUUUAAUGGCUAAUUAGGGACUUAAUUGAAGAAAUCCGAGACCAAGGACUAAAUUGUAAAACGCGCGCAAAUGUUAGGGCCGAAAUUUGAAUCUGAUGCUUUUGGCGCCUUUUCCUUUUAAAUGAAACGGCGCGUUUUGACCAAAACGACGCCGUUUCAUUCACUGUUGCAAAAAAAAAAAAUACAGAAGCCCAAAACGGUGUCGUUUUGACGGCACUGUAGCUCUUCUUCUUCCCCUGGACACCCGAGGCAGGGGAAGAAGAAGAUUUAUUCUUCCCCUUUUCGCCUAAUUUCUUUCCUUUUUUUGCUCAAAAAGACGCCGAAACAAGGACACCACUUGCCGACCACUUUCCACGUGUUGGACGGGCGGCAGCACACCGGCCACCACCAUGACGUCCCCCCCCCCAUGUUUUUCGCCUAUAAAAACAGGGGAGGAAGAGGAAAAAAAAAAAAAAGACAGAAGGGAGACGAACUGAGAUAGAAGAGAAGAGAAUAGAGAGGGCAGAGAAGAAGAAGAAGAAGAAGAAGAAGCAGGGAAGAAAAGAAGAAAAACAGAAGAAGAGAGAGAACCACCGCCAGCCUCCGCCACCAUCGCCUCCGUGCCUACGCCGCCAGCAGCACCGCCACGACGCACCGCAGGUAAUCUCUCGCCGCCCUGUCGCCUUCUCCUUUGCUGCCUCCCCGUUUGCAUGCAGAACGUGAAUUAAUUCACGUUCUGCAGCUGAAGAGUGGUUACUGUGCUUAGCACAGUAACCAGCCCAUUUGGUAAUGGGCCGGGUUGGCCCAGCCCACUGAAUGGGCCGGACCCGGCCCAUUUCAUUUUUUUUUUUAAUUUUUUACAAUUUUUCCAGCACUUGUUUUUAUCAAUUUUUGCUUAAUAUCGGUCUGUAUUUUACAUCGUAAAAAUAUAAAUUCGGUAUUAAAAUACCCGGUUUUCGUCCCACAGUACUGUUCACACAUGCAUAAAAAAAAAUCAAAAAUAUUUGUUUCAGCAUUUUAUAAUUUUUCCGUAGUUUUUAUGUCAUUUUGAUUAAUAUCGGGCAGUAUUUUUAUAAAAAAUCCGGUAUUAAAAUACCCGGUUUUUCGGCAAAAACUUCCAAAAAUAAAAAAAAAAAUUAAAAAAAAAGAAAAAAAAUGUUUUUGUGCAUACGGCCAAGUGUCUCAAAUCUAAAAAAUCAUAUCGUAUUUUUCAUAUGUCAAAAAAAAUAUUUUAGCAUGCAUUUUGGCUUUAAUAACCAGUUUAUUAAAGUCAAGAGAACAUUGGCCAAAAUCUCAAAAACAACAAAAAAUUUUAUUUUGUUUGAUUUUAGUAUCAGGGAUUAUGAAUUUAUACGUAAAUCGUAUUCCUGAUAUUAAAAAGAUAUUUUCUUUUGACGACUUCGAAUAGUUAGUUUUUUUUACCCGAUAAAGAUAAGGAUCUCCUUACAGAGGAGGACUUUUCUUAAACCGUAAACGAACCAACAAUUCAAAAAAACCACAACACGAUUUUAGAUUUUAUCAGACAUUAAAACAAUGCAGCCUACCUUAGGUAGGGCGUAGUUGGGGUGCUAAUACCUUCCCUUUACGCAACCAGUCUCCGUACCCGAUCUCUAAAGACCAGUUAAGGUUCCUAGUAACCAGAAUAUUAGGUGGCGACUCCCAUUCCAAUUUUUUUCACUUGUAGAGACAAGAAUUCCUUGUCUCUCCCCAUUUGUCAGGAAUAAAUAUUCCGAUUUUUCCUUGAGGGUGGACGAUCGCCGCGCCGCCGCACACGUGCGACAAAAACCAUGGGCACCCUGUAUGGAUUAUGAUGCUCAAAAAGGGUUAAUGUCGCCUAAGAAGAAAUACUACUGUGUGGAAUCUGAUCAAGCGACUUGACACAGCCGUUGAAAGUUUUCAAAGUUUGCUAAGACUCUAAAUUUAAACGAACUGAUAAUAACACGUAGAACACUUGAAAGAAAAAUUGUUUACGGGGCAUUACACAGAUACAAUAAUGAAGUUCUAAGAGGGUUUUGAUUACAAUUUCAGAACAGAAGGACUAAUUAGACAUGAAUUCUGUCAUGGAAAAACAUGAGAUUUCACCAGGAAAAAAAAACCUUUCCAUUCGAAGAUUGAGAAACUUUCCAAGAUUUUAUGCAAAUUGAUAGGAAAUUAUCUACCUUCGUCUGAAGCAAUCGUUGUAUCGAUGCUUAUUUCUUGUUUACUUGAAGAUGAAUCUGUGCCAGAAAGGCCUGUUCCUUGUUUACUUGAACAAGAAGCUGCGCCAGAAAGGCCUCUUCGUAUAAAAAAGGCUGGGUUCUUAGGAACCGGCAAGUUUGCAGUUUCACUGCUAAGCAUCACAACAACAUUGGACAUGGUCGGACGGUCGGAUGGAUCAUCUUGUACGCAUAAGAGUGCAACAUUUACACACCUCAGAAACUCAUUGGUGUUGCAAAUCUCACGUAAUGUCUCGUCCAUUAAAUCCAAUGCCUUGUCUUCUCUCCAUAAUCUCCAAGCCUGGAAUUUUGAAGUUUAAGUCAGCAUCGCUUAUCAAAUGACAAAACAUUAUAUUAGCACGGUUGAACUUACAUAAGCUAGAAGGCUUUGGGCUUCAUCAGAAUUAAAAUAUCCUGUGUUCCUUUUCCCACUAAGAAUCUCAAGUACAACUACGCCGAAACUAAAAACAUCAGAUUUGACAGAAAAUAGGCCAUCUAAUGCGUACUCUGGCGACAUGUAGCCACUGCAUUACAACAAUUUUCACAAGAAUCAGUAACUCGGCUGGAUUCAGACUCCUAAUUCAGCAUUAAACAAUACAUGAUUGAAGGAUUGGAGACUGCAAAAAUAGUGUUUGCAUAUGAAUGUAUGUCUGAUGAAUAUCAAUGUUGAUAGGAUCUGAAACUUACUAAGUUCCAACAACACUGUUUGUGCUCCCCUCGGUUUGUUUGCCUUCGAACAUCCUUGCCAAUCCAAAGUCAGAAAUUUUGGGAUUCAUUUCCGCAUCUAAUAAAAUGUUGCUCGUUUUCAUAUCACGAUGAAUAAUCCUGAGUCUAGAAUCUUGGUGGAGAUAAAGAAGACCUCUAGCAACUCCUAAAAUGAUAUCAAAGCGCGUCUCCCAAUUCAGUAACAUUCCCAGAUCUCGAUCUUCAGCGGUUUUCCAUUUCCAUAAGUACAAAAAUUAGCAACCAUGAUUGCUGCAAACGUACAUUUAUAAACCAAAAAUGAUGAAUCUGUUUAGAGACUAACCAAAUAUGAAGGAAUCUAAGCUUUUGUUAGGCAUAUAUUCAUAGAGUAAAAUCUUUUCAUCUCCUUUUAUGCAAUAGCCUACUAGUCUGACAAGAUUCCGAUGCUGCAAUCUAGCAAUCAAAAUCACCUCAUUCUUAAACUCCUCUAGGCCUUGUCCUGAAACACUAGAGAGUCGUUUUAUUGCAAUUUCUUGACCUCCUGGAAAUUUUCCCUGAAACCAAAGUUGCGAUGCAGGUAAAAUUCAGCCAGAAAACUUGUCAGACACAAAAAUUCCAAUGAUUAACGUAAAUAUUACUUUGUAAACAGGUCCGAAGCCCCCUCUUCCAAGCUUGUUUGCUUCCGAAAAAUAAUCCGUAGCAGCUAGUAUGCUGUCUAAAUCAAAGAAAGGUACAUCUAUGCCCUUCUUAUCUUCUUCGUUGAACUCUUCUGCAUCUAUCAAGUUCUUGACCCGUUUCUCAGUGCCAUACAAAACAGCUGCAUUUCUUUCAGUAUUUUGCUGGCUUUCUGAAAUUUCAACAAGACAACUGCUAAUUACAUGAGGAAUCCUUAAAAACUUCAAUACCUACACGUUGAAAAUUUGUCUAGUUACCUCGUCGUUUGGCCUUCUUUCUCAUCAAAAUGCAGAUGUAAAGGAAGAUGCUUGAUAGAACUAUGACACUAGCAAUUGUAACUCCUACAAUCAAAGACAAUGGUUUCUUUUUUCUCGAAGAUCCUCCUGCUUGUCUAUCGAAAAUUUCAAGAAAGAAAGGGUUUAUGCACAUUAUAAUAAAUUAAACUGGAUGAAACUUAUGGUUUUCACUACUUUUGCAGUUUGAGGCAAGAUAUAGAGUGCUCACCAUGAACGCAUUUUAGAGCAUUGUUAUCCCACCAAAAAUUUGAAUUGCAGAGGCAUCUCGCUGUACCAUUUCCUUUUAGAUUGUUGCAAGUUGAAUUUGGCCAAUCGUCGCAGUCUGAAGAUGAAGAGCAGACUGGCUCUUGAGGUGGCUCCCAACCAAUAUCUAUUUCUACCAGACCUUGAGAUGAAACGUUGGAAAUAAAAUUUCCUGCCACGGUAUCACACCAGCGUUUAGAGGCGUUCAUCUUAAAUGGAAAUGACGUGUUGAACUUCCGAAUUUGACCUCUUGUACUGGCAUUACAAUCAUCUACAUCUUUGUGAUGUUUAGUAUUAAAAAGAUUUGGAAAAUACAAUAAAGCCCUUGGAGGCUUAAAAGAGGGUAUAAAUGAUUGAAGGGUAGUGUGGUAAUUGACCAAUAGUUGAUAAAUAUAUAUAAGAAAAAAAAAAAAAAGGAUCUGAAUUUGGAGAGAGAACCGGCAGGAGAGAAGAGAGGAAGAAGAAGAAGAGAAAAGAGGGGAAAAAGGAAAAGGUUGAAGAAAACAAGUAAAAGGGUAAGAUUAUGCUUGAAUGUAUAAUAUGUUUUCUUUAGCUUUAAAUUUCGGUUUUUGAUUAAUUUUAGAGUUUUGAAUUUUGAGUUUAUUGAUGAAUUAGUUUGAAUUAGAGGUUGAUUGAUGUGGGUAUUUGAUUAUUAGUUGAAUUGGAGAGAUUGUAAGAAAAUGAUGAUUUUGAGUUAUGGUUGAAUUGAAUGAUGAAGUUGAGGUAUAAAUCUGGAACUAACAGUAGGUGAUCUGUUGAAAUUCUGGGUUUGAGGUUGAAGAUGACGAAAAUUCAGUUUGGUCCCUCAAUUUGUGAAAUUGCAGUUUAGUCCCCGAACUUUGGAAAUUUUACAGAUUGGUCCCUGGGGCAUAAAUUGAGGUUCUGAACAGAACUGAGGAUGAUUUAAGGACAAAAUUCCAGUAUAAUUAAUAUUUUCAGUUUGGUCCUCCAAUUUGACAAAAAGUAUAAUUUGACCCUAAAAAUUUGGUAAAGUUCCAGAAUGGUCCUUGGAGCAUAAUGAUAUAUCCUGGACAGAAUUGAGGAUUAAUUAUGGAUAAAUUUCAGUAUGGUUAUAUAUUUACAAUUCGGUCCUCAAAUUUUGGUAAAAUUACGUUUUGGUCCCUGUUUUGGAAAAUUAUCGUUUUAGUCCCUAAACUUGGGAGAUUAAGCCCGGUUUUAUUUUAUGCAUUGGGAUCUUUUGUUUGAUUGUUUUUGAGUAUAUUUCAUAUAUUUAUUGUAGGUUCUCCUAACGAUCCUUAAUCGGAUUUUCGGGUCUUUUGUCUGACAUUCCUUUAGUUCAGUAUUUUCCGGGUGAGUGGAAUAAUCUUUAAUAUGCAUAUAAUAUAAAUAAAUAUGUAUGUUGAUUAUACAAUGAGUACAACUAGUAAAUUUCUUGAAUAUUUAUAUAUGUUGCUUUAUUUUCCGAGUACUCAUUUAUUCUUGAAUUUGCACUCGCAAUCUGAUAAAGUAAAUUCUAUUUGAUAGAUAUGAUAUACGUUUUUGAUGAUGUGAAUAUCUAUUAUGCCUUGAUAUGGGACUUGUCAGUAACUCCAUGCUAACGGAGAAUAGUUAGCCUGUGUGCACAUAGUAUUCUGUUACCUAGCUGGUGAGAGAGGCAUCAGCCUGUGGCGAUUAAUCAUCCCACAGUGGUCACCGACGGGUGUCAUCUGGUCACCGACGGGUGUCAUCUGGUCACCUUCGGGUGUCAUCUGGGUCACCUUCGGGUGUCAUCUGAUCUCUGACAUGUAAUCCACUACGUUAUGAUAAUAUGUUUAGUAAGUAUAUGUAUAUGUAUAUUAAGAUAAAUCAUCUUACAAAUUAUUAAUAUCUUAAAUAUCUUAAAUGUAUAUUAAAUGUUAUUCCCUCACUGAGUUGGUUGAACUCACCUCUCAUUUUUAAUAUUAUUUCAGGUUCUUAAUUUCUGAGACUUUGUUGAGUGUUUCCGCUUCUUCAGUUCUGGUCGGUAUGCCUUGCUUGUUCGCGAGGCUUUCCUUUCAGUUUUGAUUUGAUGUCUUAGACGCUCCACUGUUACCUUGUUUUAAUUAAGUUUGGAUUUUGGCAAUGUAAAUAGUAUUAUGAAUUAUUAUUUUUGUUUUAAUAACUAUCUUUCGGUUUCAUUAGUAUUUGAAUAAUAUAAUAUUUCUGAAUAUUAUGAGCCGCUGCGUAUUUUUGAACAAAUUGUUCUUUUGAUAUGUCCGUUCUGAGGCUUAGCGUAGGUGAGGUGUCCUUUCGACACCGCUCCUACGUUGCCGGUCACGGAUCCGGGAUUCGGGUCGUGACAAUCUUUCUCUUGGAUAACAAAUGUUCUUGUAUCUUGAUUGAUGGUAGUGACAUUAUAGGUGCCGCUGGGUGUCUUAAAGCUGAGUUUUCCUAUGGAAUUAUUGCAGUAGAAACUGUAGUACGCGGGGUCACCACAAUCUGAUCCAGUGCUUAGAGGAUAAGGAAUCACAUUUGUGCCACAAGGCUCACAACUUUUAUCCUUUGAUUCUGCAAAACAUGGAGCUUUUUUUAAGGUAUGCAAAACUACUGAUAUUUAGUUCAGUUAUGAAUUAAGUCCACUGCUUGUCUGCAAUCUUCUAUCAGAGAAAAUUAUCCUUGACGUAAUUCUAGCAUCUUGUAGUAACAAAAGGAGAAAGAACAAGUCGAAAGAAGAAAGUACCUAUAUCAGAAAUGGCGACUCGGACAAAGAGAUCGGGUCCACCAUAAGAAUAUUCCUCCUGGAGAUCUUUAAGAUCAUCAUACAUCCAGAUCAAGCAAGUGCGAGGUUGUCUGUCCCUUCGCCUAUUGACUUUCACCUCAACGAAGGAAUAAGCUUGGCAUGAGCAGUUACUGAGACACUCCUCUCUGCAUUGUUUUUCAUCCUCGACCUCAAAUGUUUUGACUGGUUGCCCAAAUUUCAUCGUCUUGAAGCUCAAGAAGGUGUUCUUCUUCACACAUGGGUCAGAGCUUCUGAUACAACCACUGGAGAAAUCGUCAUUUUUCCAAUUUUCCAGUGACUUAGGCUCAAAUCCUGGCAAACAUCUGCAAGCCACUUUAUUGUAUAGAUUGCAGCUGCCAAAGUUCCCACAGGCAUUAUACACACUGCAUUUGUCUUUCGGCUCCCACCAUAGCUUAGACCUAGUUGUGUUAUAGCUCAAGUAUUGUAGCUCCCCUUUAACGUCCAACCUAAUCCUUGUAUUACUAAAAUCUGAGAGUGAUAUAUUUAUUCCGUUGAGUAUUGAAGUUGGAUUAGAAACAGAAAUGGAUUCAAAACCUUUGGUGAAGUUCGAUAGAAAAUAUUCUAUAACAUCAGGCAUUCUUUCUGGUCUAAAGAAAUCACUUGACUCCCCACUAGUCCAGUGCUUUAUACUGCCAUCGGAGAUAACAAACUGGCCCCUUUCUUCAUCUAGCUGAAAUGUGAAGUUACCUUCUUGUGGAUCAACUUCACUUUUCCAUGAAGUCAAUUUUAGAUCCCCAAUCAUCUUCAUACCUGAAAGAAAUGUAUCAGUUGGAUGGUCAAAGCUUUGCCAUAGAAUAGUUGUCGAAAGGGUAUUACUAUCACACAAAACCAAGUUCCCAGAAUCUAAGAGCUUAGCCAACCCAUUCGCUGGUUUUGAUGUUGAUUCAAGCCCUGUAGACCAAAAAGAAUCUCCAUUUUUUUUCAAAAUCUUGAGAUUUCCAUCAUCUGUGACAGCCAAAACUGCUCCAUCAUCAAGAAGUGGGCUGUUUCGAUUGGCAACCCACACAACUAUUCGUGGUUUCGACCCGUAAUACCAAAUUCCUACGUAGCUUUUG
rnacentral:lncRNA from 1 species